UCUGGUGACGAUGGCGAAGUGGAAACACCUGUUCCCAUCCCGAACACAGCAGUUAAGCACUUCAGCGCCGAAGAUAGUUCCAAGGAGCGAAAAUAGGACGUUGCCAGGC
rnacentral:rRNA from 1 species